rnacentral:rRNA from 1 species
AUUGAACGCUGGCGGCAGGCCUAACACAUGCAAGUCGAGCGGAUGAAGGGAGCUUGCUCCUGGAUUCAGCGGCGGACGGGUGAGUAAUGCCUAGGAAUCUGCCUGGUAGUGGGGGAUAACGUCCGGAAACGGGCGCUAAUACCGCAUACGUCCUGAGGGAGAAAGUGGGGGAUCUUCGGACCUCACGCUAUCAGAUGAGCCUAGGUCGGAUUAGCUAGUUGGUGGGGUAAAGGCCUACCAAGGCGACGAUCCGUAACUGGUCUGAGAGGAUGAUCAGUCACACUGGAACUGAGACACGGUCCAGACUCCUAUGGGAGGCAGCAGUGGGGAAUAUUGGACAAUGGGCGAAAGCCUGAUCCAGCCAUGCCGCGUGUGUGAAGAAGGUCUUCGGAUUGUAAAGCACUUUAAGUUGGGAGGAAGGGCAGUAAGUUAAUACCUUGCUGUUUUGACGUCACCAACAGAAUAAGCACCGGCUAACUUCGUG